rnacentral:misc_RNA from 1 species
AAAAAAAAUAAAUAAUAAAUAAAAAAAACCUGGGUAGGCCAGUCUCUGCCCCUCUCAUUAACGACUGAGCCGAUACGAGUCGGCCACACUUCUUGUCCGUUUAUUUAUUCUUUCCAAGUCGGCGCCCGUGUAAUACUUUCGACUACGCUCCAAUUUAUUUAUUUAUUUUUAGAUGACUUAAAGAAAAACAAAAAUUGAAGCAAACUUCAACUUCUUUACUUUUCUCUGUCACUCUUCGCUUCAUAAACUCUAUAGUUCGAUCGUCCAAUUUUCUCCGAUCAAACCUCGCUAUUUCUCUCUCUGCAAUUGUCGUCAUGGAUUUAGUCGACGGCAACUUCGAGCUCAGGGAGAUUCAGAAACUCCAAGGCCACAACGAUAGGGUUUGGAGCCUCGCCUGGAAUCUAGCUGCCGGAACUGGUGACAUCCGUCCGGUUUUCGCUUCUUGUAGUGGCGAUAAGACCGUUCGAAUCUGGGAGCAGAGCCCUUCCUCUAGCUCUUGGGACUGCAAGUCAGUUUUGGAAGAAACGCACACUAGAACUGUUCGAUCUUGUGCCUGGUCGCCAUCUGGGAAAUUAUUGGCCACUGCAAGCUUUGAUGCGACUACUGCCAUUUGGGAAAACAUUGGGGGUGAUUUUGAAUGUGUUUCUACUCUGGAGGGUCAUGAAAAUGAAGUCAAAAGUGUGGCCUGGAAUGCUUCUGGGUCUCUGCUUGCAACAUGCAGUCGAGAUAAAACUGUGUGGAUUUGGGAAGUAAUGCCAGGGAAUGAGUUUGAGUGUGCUUCAGUAUUGCAAGGACAUACACAGGAUGUUAAAAUGGUUAAGUGGCAUCCAAAUGUGGACGUUUUGUUUUCCUGUAGCUAUGAUAACACCAUUAAGGUUUGGGCUGAGGAUGGUGAGGGUGAUUGGCGCUGUGUUCAAACCUUGGGUGAAUCCAGCAAUGGUCACACUUCUACCGUUUGGUCACUUUCUUUUAAUGCUGAAGGAAGCAAAAUGGUUACCUGUAGUGAUGAUCUUACCCUAAAGAUAUGGGAGACAGAUAUUGGAAGGAUGGUAUCUGGUGAUGACCACACACCUUGGUGAGAAAUGUGCACUUAUUGAAUCUUCUACCCAUGAGUGACGGUGUCCAUAAUGCUGUUUGAGAUGUUCUAUUUAUGAGUAAACAAAUAGGUCUAGAGAUCUUUCAUAUUUGACACACGACAGGUUAUACUUUGACUGUAAUUUAGAAAAGAAAAACAAAUGCUUCCAUUAAUUAUGGAUCCUUAUUGUUGAAAUAUUUGAUUUAAAGCAUAUGAAUUUCAAGCAGUGGACUGCAUGCUUACAAGAAUCAGUUAUGUUGCAAAUAAUUUCAAAGUUAUCAUUGAGCAUUUCUGUUUGUGAAUAAUUCAGGAAUUAAAGAUUUGGUCAGGACACAUUGCAAUCCAAUUUACCGAGUCAAGUGGUAUAGGGUUUAUUUGCCAUUGUUACAACCCUAAUCCCAAAUUACCAGUCUACCUUCAUUUUUAACAAAAAGAAAUUUAGGAAUGCCUGUUAUAAUUCCUGAAUUAUAACAGUUACGUUAAAGAAAACAGGGAUAGUUUUGUGGUUUUUAUAGUUAUUCACACUGCUUCCACUGAGUGUAAACAGUUUAAAUGGACUUCUCUUAAAAAGCUGGAGUACCAGAUAGUCACAGAAAAGUUGGAAUGGUGCAAGUUACAUGGGGCUCCACACACACACACAUAUAUAUAACGAUUUUAAAAAUUCUUUUCAAAGAAUUAAAGUUCCUUUUUCCUUCAAAUUUAUGAAAAUUAUGCUUAUUAUAUGUUAUUAUUGAUUUUCUGUAGAAACAAAAUAGCUUCAAUUGAGCUGAUGAUAUAUGAUUACGAAUGGUAUCCUGUUUCAUCAACCAGCAUACAUCCCAAAGGCUCAUUUUUCAUUUUAUGCUUCUCUUAAUAAAUUGCAGGCUAGUUAUUUAGUUAUUUAUUUACCUUUUGUAAUUGUGGCAUGCAAAUGCCUAUUUGUAAACUGGAAAUUGUUGAUAAUAUGUGUUUGUGUGUGGGUUUUUUGCCCCAGGAGUCAUGUUUGCACUCUCUCGGGUUAUCAUGAUCGAACAAUUUUUUCGGUUGACUGGUCAAGGGAAGGCAUUAUAGUCAGUGGAGCGGCCGAUGAUGCUAUUCGAUUUUUUGUGGAGAGCAAAGAUGGUUUGGUUAAUGGUCCUUCAUAUAGACUGCUGUUGAAAAGAGAAAAAGCUCAUGAUAUGGACAUAAAUUCAGUGCAAUGGAGCCCAGGGGUAAGUUUCUUCUGUAUAUCAUUGAUAUUAUAUUUAUGUAAAAUAUUUGUACUGAACUCAUCAGUACGAUGGAAAUGAUAGGUUGAUUCAUGGUGGGUGCUCUUCUGAUAGAGCAUCGAUUGUAUUUUAUCUUUUUGUGAGCUAAAGAUAAAGUUACAAUGGUCUUCUAGUGAUUGAUGUCUUCUAGGUUCUGCGAGAAUAACUGAAUAAGGAUUCAUGUUUAGUGCUGAAAGUGGCACUUCCCUAACAUUUUCCUGUAUAUUUUUGUUAAAACCUGACAGGAGAACCGGCUUCUUGCUUCCGCAAGUGAUGAUGGAAGUAUAAAGAUGUGGGAGCUCGCAACUCUUGCGUGAUUCAUCCUUUUGCUGACUUCCAUUUUGCUCUUCAUUUUUUCAAGGUUUAUGAUGUGUGUGGUCUGAUAAAGUUGUAAAACGCUCCUCCUCCAUGGCCUCAGCCCCAAAUCCAUUUUUUGUGAAAUUAAGAAAUUUGAUAUAUUCAUAUUUAAAAAAAAUUGAUAUAUUUAUUAGGGAAUUAUCAGUUAUUAUUUUAGCAGAAUCAUUGAUUAUCACAGUAGAUAGGGUACAAUUUCGUAUUCUAUUUUGCCAAUAAAUUUGUCAGUUUUGGACCUUUCGAUGUCU